AGUGUUUUCUCGAAUGUGAGUAAAGGUUGGGCAUGUUUGCUAGUCUACCUUGCCACGAAGCACAGAGGUUGACACACAGGGACUUUCCAAUUAUCCAGCAAUGGUACUGUUCCUUUACCCUCUCUUCGAUUUUUAAGAAAGUAGUCAUGUUGGGAGUCUGGCUCUUUAGAUUCGGAGGACGGUACCUCUUCGAUUUUGGAGCAAGCAAUCUUAUUGGGAGUGUUUUCUCGAAUGUGAGUAAAGGUUGGGCAUGUUUGCUAGUCUACCUUGCCACGAAGCACAGAGGUUGACAUACAUGGACUUUCCAAUUAUCCAACAGUGGUACUGUUCCUUUACCCUUGUGGGUAAUAAUAUGGUAGCUAGACCUUCAAAAUUUAUGGGUCUAAACUUUGUUAGUGCUGUUUCUUUGCUAUUCUUUUACCCUUCUUGGUCAGAGCGAUGUAGU
rnacentral:lncRNA from 1 species